rnacentral:rRNA from 1 species
GUCUACAGCCAUACCACCCUGAACGCACCCGCUCUCGUCUGAUCUCGGAAGCUAAGCAGGUUCGGGCCUGGUUAGUACUUGGAUGGGAAAACUGACAAGAGGUCUGAGAGUGUAGCCC